GGUUGGAUGGUGUAGGGGCAGCACUUCAGAUUCUGAUUCUGGCAACCCGGGUUCGAUUCCCGGUCCGACCU